GCUCAACAGCUAGUCCACCUAACCAAAAGCAAACCCCUAACAUCUAAAUACCCCCUAACACACGCAAUAAGUACCAAACAAAACAUUUUUCCCCUUUAGUAUAGGCGAUAGAAAAAGUACCCCGGAACAACAGAAAAAGUACCGCAAGGGAACGCUGAAAGACACAUGAAACAGGACAAUAGGCCUAAAAAAGCAGAGAUAAAAACUCUCUUUUUUUUUU
rnacentral:rRNA from 1 species